UAAUACGUCAAUAGACACAGUAAUUUUCACUGUGGGUGCUUAAAGAUUUCUCCUUCAACCAUUUUGCUGUGGCCUAUAGCCUAAGAGCUCCAUUGCUUUUUGACUUUCAUAGAUGGAAUCAUAAAUUCUUUCAGGGUUUAUGCAUGGCUCUGUGUGUGUGUUGGGGUGGGGUUGGGUGUGUGGAGAGAGAGAGGUAUUUUGGAGUGCUCAAUUAAUUUUGUUGGUGGACAAACCAUUUCAUUGGGGUCCUAAGACCUAAAAAUUUCAUUGCUUGUUAAAUUGCACCGGAUGAAAUCAUAACUUCUUUCAGCAUGUGGAUUAUGGAUGGAACACUAAUGAGUUGUUGAGAUGAAAAUCUGGAAUUUGCGUUAUGUGUGAUGAACAUUUGUUUACAUUGACUAGUGAUUGCUGUAAAGGGAUAUAUUUUACUUGCAAUGUUCUUAUUGCAUAUUUCCUAACAUGAAUUGGCUUGCAUCUAAUGGUGUGCCUCAGAAAUUAUUAGGCUGGGGGGUGGUGAAGUUUAGAUAUAUCAUCAAUACCUGAGGACUUUAAAGAGAAGUAGUGGAGGUCAUGUGAAGUGCACUAGUUAUCAAGAAGUGCAAGAAAUUAUGGAACUAGUGGGAGAAUAUUGUUACAAGUGGAGCAAUUGACUUUGACUAUGACCUUGAUUGAAUUCAACAUGAUUGUCAAUGUGUUCUAAAUGAGUCAAUAAGCUCCAAAGUGUUAAAGGGAACAAAACAAUAUGAA